rnacentral:rRNA from 1 species
AUGAAUCCCCUGACGCAGGUGAAGCGGACGCAGGUGAUAAACCAGAAGGAGGCGGCGCUGGGCCUCAGCGAGGACGCCUCGUGGCACGCCAAGUUCAGGGGCUCUGCCUACGUCUUCGUCGGCGGCGUCCCCUUCGACCUCACCGAGGGCGACCUCCUCGCCGUCUUCGCGCAGUAUGGCGAGGUGGUCGACGUGAACCUCGUGCGCGACAAGGCCACCGGCAAAUCCAAGGGCUUCGCGUUCGUCGCGUAUGAGGAUCAGAGGAGCACGGUUCUUGCCGUAGAUAACUUGAAUGGGGCUAAGGUUCUUGGGAGGAUCAUCAGGGUUGACCAUGUGGAGAAGUACAAGAAGAAGGAGGAGGAGGACGAGGAGGAGCUGCAGAAGAAGAGGGAGGAGCGCGGCGUGUGCUAUGCUUUCCAGAAAGGCGAGUGCAACCGCGGCGAUGCGUGCAAAUAUUCCCAUGAUGAACAGAGAAAUGCAAACACUGGUUGGGGUUCUAAGGAGGAUGACCCAAAAUGGGAGCAUGACAGGCACCGUGGUCCACAAAAUAAGGGGGAAUCCCGUGGCAUCUGCUAUGCUUUCCAGAAAGGCGAAUGCAGUCGGGGAGAUUCCUGCAGAUUUUCGCAUGAUGAGCAGGUAGCUGUCCAGGGCCGUGGCGUCUGCUACGCUUUCCAGAAAGGCGAGUGCAGUCGCGGAGCUUCCUGCAGAUUUUCACAUGAUGAGCAGAGGAAUGCAAACACUGAUCGAGGUUCUAGGGAGGACAGCAGUGCAAGACGGCAGCAUGACCAUGAUCCACCAAAGAGGCACAAAAAUUUCCCUGACAGGAAUAAAGAAGAGGCGAGAUCAGGAGACAGGGAUGGUCAAACCUCAAGAUCAGAGUUGUGCAGGGACCGAGAUUCUAGGUCAAGGCAUGGUGAUAGAGACACAAAAGAGAGUGACAGGAACAGGCACGAGAAAUCCCCCGAGAGAUCAAGAGGCGACAGGCAGAGGGGUGAUGACAGGGGAAGAGAAGAAAGAUCAGACACAAGAGAUAGGGACAGGGACAGGCGGGAGAAAUCCCCUGAGAGAUCAAGAGGCGAUAGGCAGAGAGGCGAUGACAGGGGAAUAGAAGAAAGAUCAGAGAGCAAGCGGUCUAGGCACGAUAGAGAUUCUGGUGGCCGUUACGAAAGAAGGUCUGAUGAAGAGGAAGAACGGUACAGGAAAUCCCGGAGAUGA